AAAACAAAAUUAUCCGCCAGAGAACUACGAGUGAAAAACUUAAAACUCAAAGGACUUGGCGGUGCCCCAUACUCAGCCUAGAGGAGCCUGUCCUAUAAUCGAUAAUCCACGAUAAACCUAACCGCUUUUAGCAAAAUCAGCCUAUAUACCGCCAUCGCCAGUUUAUCUUCUAAAAGAUUAAAAAUAAACACAAAAGUUUUCACUAGUACGUUAGGUCAAGGUGUAGCACAUAAAACGGUAAGAGAUGGGCUACAUUUUCUAUUCAAGAAAAUACGGAAAACACAAUGAAACUAGUGUUUAAAGGCGGAUUUAGUAGUAAAAUUUAUA
rnacentral:rRNA from 1 species